rnacentral:rRNA from 1 species
UACGGGGGGGGCAAGCGUUGUUCGGAAUUACUGGGCGUAAAGGGCUUGUAGGUGGCCAACUAAGUCAAACGUGAAAUCCCUCGGCUUAACCGGGGAACUGCGUCUGAUACUGGAUGGCUUGAGUUUGGGAGAGGGACGCGGAAUUCCAGGUGUAGCGGUGAAAUGCGUAGAUAUCUGGAGGAACACCAAUGGCGAAGGCAGCUCGCUGGGACGGUACUGACGCUGAGACGCGAAAGCGUGGGGAGCGAACAGG